rnacentral:rRNA from 1 species
CCAGCGAACUUGGCAGAGAUGCCUUGGUGCCUUCGGGAACGCUGAGACAGGUGCUGCAUGGCUGUCGUCAGCUCGUGUUGUGAAAUGCUGGGUUAAGUCCCGNAACGAGCGCAACCCUUAUCCUUUGUUGCCAGCGAUUCGGUCGGGAACUCAAAGGAGACUGCCGGUGAUAAACCGGAGGAAGGUGGGGAUGACGUCAAGUCAUCAUGGCCCUUACGAGUAGGGCUACACACGUGCUACAAUGGCGCAUACAAAGAGAAGCGACCUCGCGAGAGCAAGCGGACCUCAUAAAGUGCGUCGUAGUCCGGAUCGGAGUCUGCAACUCGACUCCGUGAAGUCGGAAUCGCUAGUAAUCGUGGAUCAGAAUGCCACGGUGAAUACGUUCCCGGGCCUUGUACACACCGCCCGUCACACCAUGGGAGUGGGUUGCAAAAGAAGUAGGUAGCUUAACCUUCGGGAGGGCGCUUACCACUUUGUGAUUCAUGACUGGGGUGAAGUCGUAACAAGGUAAGCGUAGCGAG